UAGUGGCGAACGGGUGAGUAACACGUGAGUAACCUGCCCUUGACUCUGGGAUAAGCCUGGGAAACUGGGUCUAAUACCGGAUAUGACCAUCUGACGCAUGUCAUGGUGGUGGAAAGCUUUUGUGGUUUUGGAUGGACUCGCGGCCUAUCAGCUUGUUGGUGGGGUAAUGGCCUACCAAGGCGACGACGGGUAGCCGGCCUGAGAGGGUGACCGGCCACACUGGGACUGAGACACGGCCCAGACUCCUACGGGAGGCAGCAGUGGGGAAUAUUGCACAAUGGGCGGAAGCCUGAUGCAGCGACGCCGCGUGAGGGAUGACGGCCUUCGGGUUGUAAACCUCUUUCAGUAGGGAAGAAGCGAAAGUGACGGUACCUGCAGAAGAAGCGCCGGCUAACUACGUGCCAGCAGCCGCGGUAAUACGUAGGGCGCAAGCGUUAUCCGGAAUUAUUGGGCGUAAAGAGCUCGUAGGCGGUUUGUCGCGUCUGCUGUGAAAGACCGGGGCUCAACUCCGGUUCUGCAGUGGGUACGGGCAGACUAGAGUGCAGUAGGGGAGACUGGAAUUCCUGGUGUAGCGGUGAAAUGCGCAGAUAUCAGGAGGAACACCGAUGGCGAAGGCAGGUCUCUGGGCUGUAACUGACGCUGAGGAGCGAAAGCAUGGGGAGCGAACAGGAUUAGAUACCCUGGUAGUCCAUGCCGUAAACGUUGGGCACUAGGUGUGGGGGACAUUCCACGUUUUCCGCGCCGUAGCUAACGCAUUAAGUGCCCCGCCUGGGGAGUACGGCCGCAAGGCUAAAACUCAAAGGAAUUGACGGGGGCCCGCACAAGCGGCGGAGCAUGCGGAUUAAUUCGAUGCAACGCGAAGAACCUUACCAAGGCUUGACAUGAACCGGAAAGACCUGGAAACAGGUGCCCCGCUUGCGGUCGGUUUACAGGUGGUGCAUGGUUGUCGUCAGCUCGUGUCGUGAGAUGUUGGGUUAAGUCCCGCAACGAGCGCAACCCUCGUUCUAUGUUGCCAGCGCGUUAUGGCGGGGACUCAUAGGAGACUGCCGGGGUCAACUCGGAGGAAGGUGGGGACGACGUCAAAUCAUCAUGCCCCUUAUGUCUUGGGCUUCACGCAUGCUACAAUGGCCGGUACAAAGGGUUGCGAUACUGUGAGGUGGAGCUAAUCCCAAAAAGCCGGUCUCAGUUCGGAUUGGGGUCUGCAACUCGACCCCAUGAAGUCGGAGUCGCUAGUAAUCGCAGAUCAGCAACGCUGCGGUGAAUACGUUCCCGGGCCUUGUACACACCGCCCGUCAAGUCACGAAAGUUGGUAACA
rnacentral:rRNA from 1 species